rnacentral:rRNA from 1 species
AUUGAACGCUGGCGGCAUGCCUUACACAUGCAAGUCGAACGGUAACGCGGGGCAACCUGGCGACGAGUGGCGAACGGGUGAGUAAUGUAUCGGAACGUGCCCAGUUGUGGGGGAUAACUGCUCGAAAGAGCAGCUAAUACCGCAUACGACCUGAGGGUGAAAGCGGGGGAUCGCAAGACCUCGCGCAAUUGGAGCGGCCGAUAUCAGAUUAGGGAGUUGGUGGGGUAAAGGCUCACCAAGCCGACGAUCUGUAGCUGGUCUGAGAGGACGACCAGCCACACUGGGACUGAGACACGGCCCAGACUCCUACGGGAGGCAGCAGUGGGGAAUUUUGGACAAUGGACGCAAGUCUGAUCCAGCCAUGCCGCGUGCGGGAAGAAGGCCUUCGGGUUGUAAACCGCUUUUGUCAGGGAAGAAAAGGCUCCUUCUAAUAUAGGGGGCUCAUGACGGUACCUGAAGAAUAAGCACUGGCUAACUACGUGCCAGCCGCCGCCGUAA